rnacentral:rRNA from 1 species
UGGGGAAUAUUGCGCAAUGGGCGAAAGCCUGACGCAGCAACGCCGUGUGAGCGAUGAAGGCUUUAGGGUUGUAAAGCUCUGUCAAAUGGAAAGAUAAUGACGGUACCAUUAGAGGAAGCCCCGGCUAACUCCGUGCCAGCAGCCGCGGUAAUACGGAGGGGGCAAGCGUUGUUCGGAAUUAUUGGGCGUAAAGCGUAUGUAGGCGGCUAGGUAAGUCAGGCGUGCAAGCCCGUGGCUCAACCACGGAAUUGCGUUUGAAACUGCUUAGCUUGAGUACAGGAGAGGAAAGCGGAAUUCCCAGUGUAGCGGUGAAAUGCAUUGAUAUUGGGAAGAACAUCUGUGGCGAAGGCGGCUUUCUGGUCUGUUACUGACGCUGAGAUACGAAAGCCAGGGGAGCAAAGGGG